UACGUAGGGGGCAAGCGUUGUCCGGAAUCAUUGGGCGUAAAGAGCGUGUAGGCGGCCCGGUAAGUCCGCUGUGAAAUCUCGAGGCUCAACUUCGAGCUGUCGGUGGAAACUAUCUGGCUAGAGUCCGGAAGAGGAGAAUGGAAUUCCUGGUGUAGCGGUGAAAUGCGCAGAUAUCAGGAAGAACACCCGUGGCGAAGGCGGUUCUCUGGGACGGUACUGACGCUGAGACGCGAAAGCGUGGGGAGCGAACAGG
rnacentral:rRNA from 1 species